UACGUAGGGUGCAAGCGUUGUCCGGAAUUAUUGGGCGUAAAGAGCUCGUAGGCGGUCUGUCACGUCGGCUGUGAAAACCCGAGGCUCAACCUCGGGCCUGCAGUCGAUACGGGCAAACUAGAGUGUUGCAGGGGAGACUGGAAUUCCUGGUGUAGCGGUGAAAUGCGCAGAUAUCAGGAGGAACACCGGUGGCGAAGGCGGGUCUCUGGGCAGUAACUGACGCUGAGGAACGAAAGCGUGGGUAGCGAACAGG
rnacentral:rRNA from 1 species